rnacentral:rRNA from 1 species
UGAACGCUGGCGGUAUGCUUAACACAUGCAAGUCGAACGGAAACGAUACUAGCUUGCUAGUAGGCGUCGAGUGGCGGACGGGUGAGUAACGCGUAGGAAUCUGCCUGAUAGUGGGGGAUAGCCCGAAGAAAUUCGGAUUAAUACCGCAUAAUCUAUUCGUAGUAAAGUGGGGGACUUUCGAGCCUCACGCUAUCAGAUGAGCCUGCGUAAGAUUAGCUUGUUGGUAGGGUAAAAGCCUACCAAGGCGACGAUCUUUAGCUGGUCUGAGAGGAUGAUCAGCCACAUCGGGACUGAGACACGGCCCGAACUCCUACGGGAGGCAGCAGUGGGGAAUAUUGGACAAUGGGGGCAACCCUGAUCCAGCAAUACCGCGUGUGUGAAGAAGGCCUGAGGGUUGUAAAGCACUUUCAAUUGUGAAGAAAAGUUAGCGGUUAAUAACUGUUAGCCUUGACGUUAACUUUAGAAGAAGCACCGGCUAACUCCGUGCCAGCAGCCGCGGUAAUACGGAGGGUGCAAGCGUUAAUCGGAAUUACUGGGCGUAAAGCGUGCGUAGGCGGUUUAUUAAGUCAGAUGUGAAAGCCCCGGGCUUAACCUGGGAACUGCAUUUGAAACUGGUCAACUAGAGUAUGGUAGAGGAAAGUGGAAUUUCUGGUGUAGCGGUGAAAUGCGUAGAUAUCAGAAGGAACAUCAAUGGCGAAGGCAGCUUUCUGGACCAAUACUGACGCUGAGGUACGAAAGCGUGGGUAGCAAACAGGAUUAGAUACCCCUGGUAGUCCACGCCGUAAACGAUGAUAACUAGCCGUUGGGGGGAUUUACCCUUUAGUGGCGAAGCUAACGCGUUAAGUUAUCCGCCUGGGGAGUACGGCCGCAAGGUUAAAACUCAAAGGAAUUGACGGGGACCCGCACAAGCGGUGGAGCAUGUGGUUUAAUUCGAUGCAACGCGAAGAACCUUACCUGGUCUUGACAUCCUGCGAACUUUCUAGAAAUAGAUUGGUGCCUUCGGGAACGCAGUGACAGGUGCUGCAUGGCUGUCGUCAGCUCGUGUCGUGAGAUGUUGGGUUAAGUCCCGUAACGAGCGCAACCCCUAUCCUUAUUUGCCAGCACAUCAUGGUGGGAACUAUAAGGAGACUGCCGGUGAUAAACCGGAGGAAGGCGGGGACGACGUCAAGUCAUCAUGGCCCUUACGACCAGGGCUACACACGUGCUACAAUGGGAAGGACAAAGAGCCGCGAAGCCGCGAGGUGUAGCUAAUCUCAUAAACCUUUUCGUAGUCCGGAUUGGAGUCUGCAACUCGACUCCAUGAAGUCGGAAUCGCUAGUAAUCGUAGAUCAGAAUGCUACGGUGAAUACGUUCCCGGGUCUUGUACACACCGCCC